UCGUAGGGAGGUGGGUGAGGCGGGGCCUGGAUGAUGGACAUCGUAGGGAGGUGGGUGAGGCGGGGCCUGGAUGAUGGACAUCGUAGGGAGGUGGGUGAGGCAGGGCCUGGAUGAUGGACAUCGUAGGGAGGUGGGUGAGGCGGGGCCUGGAUGAUGGACAUCGUAGGGAGGUGGGUGAGGCGGGGCCUGGAUGAUGGACAUCGUAGGGAGGUGGGUGAGGCGGGGCCUGGAUGAUGGACAUCGCAGGGAGGUGGGUGAGGCGGGGCCUGGAUGAUGGACAUCGCAGGGAGGUGGGUGAGGCGGGGCCUGGAUGAUGGACAUCGCAGGGAGGUGGGUGAGGCGGGGCCUGGAUGAUGGACAUCGCAGGGAGGUGGGUGAGGCGGGGCCUGGAUGAUGGACAUC